rnacentral:tRNA from 2 species
GGAGAGGUGUCCGAGCGGUUUAAGGUGCUUGCUUGGAAAGCAAGUGUAGGUAACACUACCGGGGGUUCGAAUCCCCCCCUCUCCG